rnacentral:rRNA from 1 species
UACGUAGGGGGCAAGCGUUGUCCGGAAUCAUUGGGCGUAAAGCGCGCGUAGGCGGCCCGGUAAGUCCGCUCUGAAAGUCCAGGGCUCAACCCUGGAAAGCGGGUGGAUACUGCCGGGCUAGAAUCCGGAAGAGGCGAGUGGAAUUCCUGGUGUAGCGGUGGAAUGCGCAGAUAUCUGGAGGAACACCGGUGGCGAAGGCGACGUCCUGGACCGGUAUUGACGCUGAGGCGCGAAAGCCAGGGGAGCAAACGGG